rnacentral:rRNA from 1 species
GAUGAACGCUGGCGGCGUGCCUAAUACAUGCAAGUCGAGCGAACGGACGAGAAGCUUGCUUCUCUGAUGUUAGCGGCGGACGGGUGAGUAACACGUGGAUAACCUACCUAUAAGACUGGGAUAACUUCGGGAAACCGGAGCUAAUACCGGAUAAUAUUUUGAACCGCAUGGUUCAAAAGUGAAAGACGGUCUUGCUGUCACUUAUAGAUGGAUCCGCGCUGCAUUAGCUAGUUGGUAAGGUAACGGCUUACCAAGGCAACGAUGCAUAGCCGACCUGAGAGGGUGAUCGGCCACACUGGAACUGAGACACGGUCCAGACUCCUACGGGAGGCAGCAGUAGGGAAUCUUCCGCAAUGGGCGAAAGCCUGACGGAGCAACGCCGAGUGAGUGAUGAAGGUCUUCGGAUCGUAAAACUCUGUUAUUAGGGAAGAACAUAUGUGUAAGUAGCUGUGCACAUCUUGACGGUACCUAAUCAGAAAGCCACGGCUAACUACGUG